rnacentral:rRNA from 1 species
AUGACCAAGGAUAACUUGCUCAAAAGAGGGAUAGAAAAACCUCCAGAAUGGGUAUUCUGCUCUGAGCAAGAAACAGCAGAUCACUUGUUCUUCGAAUGUGUGGUUGCUAGGAAACUCUGGAGUGAUAUUUCAAAUUUCUUUUCUGUUGAUUUAGGAGCAAACUACCUCUCCAUUGCCAGGUUUUGGCCGGCUAACAAGAAACAUACAGCUAUGAAUCCUUUUGUGGCUUGUCUCUUGUGGAGCUUGUGGAAAACUAGGAAUAACCAAGUGUUUAAUAACGCUAUCUGGUCUGACUUGAAGCAGAUAUGGUGGCAAGUCUGGAGGACGCUCAAAAGAUGGAUGAUACUGUACAAAGGGGAGUCGCUGGAGAGGAUGCAUAAAAUCUCACUCUGGAUAUCCAACAUCCUUGACGCGCCCUUCCAGUUGACAGUGGGGUGA